AGGCUGGGAGGAAAGGGCUUGUGCACCCACAACUCUGUGCUAUGUAGAAUGACACUACACAUGACUGGGGGUUCGUGGUGAUCGCUAACAUUAGGAAAAGAAUUGAUGACAAAACUGCAAGUCUUGACUCUUUCUAAAGACCAGUCCUGGCUUUCUUCCCUCCCAGCUUCUUUUGCAUCAUCUUGCUGGCAGAGCUUGAGAAACUGAACAGUCACUGACUUAAGUGGGUAAUGGACUGUUUGUUGAACAGCAGUGGUGAGCACCCAAUGGCCACCAGCAGCUGAUUCUCCAUAGAAUGAUAAUACUUUCACAGAUAAAAUUUAACUGCUUUAGAAGAAUCAACCCAUUUUUUGACCCAGUCACACUGCCAGAGAUUUCUUCAAACUAGAAAGCUUUUUGUGCUUCCUCUGCAUGGAAUUCUCUCACGAAGAUCUCCAGUCAAUGAAUGCCAUGUUUAAAGUCCAAGCAGUGCACCAAGUUCUGCUGCUGUUUUAUGUCUGUGAGACAACCUUUCUUCCAGGAUUCCUGGUCCCCUGCUACCAGCAGAGAACACUAUAUACUCCCCAAGACUUUGCUAACUGUGGUUUGCAAGUUGCUAACUAAAAACUUGCACUGGUGUGCUGACACUGUGAGUUGUGGUAUGCGAUGCCCAAAAUGACAGGGGAAUUGCCUGUUUCCCCAUGAAGUGUUGCCUCUUCUCUUCUUACACUUUGUGUUUCACUAUAAAUGCCAUUUGUUUGGUGUUGUGAGGCUGGGGGUAAAUCAGAGGUGCUGUUUGUCAGUGGGUUAUGAACUUGAUGUUCUUGGAGAAUUUAGGGACUUUUUAAACAAAGAGAGUGUUAUUUCUUUUGCAAAUGUUGCUUUGUCAUUGUUCCAAAGAUGGCAAGAGACUGUGUGUUUUUAAUCUUCAGCCUUCUCAGCUCUUCACAAGAAGUAGAUGUGCUGUUAAUAUCACACAGCCUUUAAUUAAGUAAUUAGCACUGGAAAGACAAUGCUAAGAAAUCAGGAAUGGGAAAAAUAAUAGACUUUCCAGGCCUUAACAGUCUAUCUAUUACUACAGUAAUCUUUUAGCCUCAUUCCCUUAUGAACUAAUAUCCUCAGUGGUACUGUCAUGUCUAUAACUUAAUUCCCAUCAAUGAAGCUGCACAGCCUAAUAGAUCUGUCCCAGGUAAGCAGUUUUCACUCUGCAGAACAGAAGAUGCUUUGCCUACUCAAUGGUCCGUAUCAGCUAUUAAGUACUGACAAUGGUCUUCCCUGAGCAGCCUUUUAGCAAACAGCUUAUUUCAGUGAGCUUGCCUGGUGCAACAGGAAUGAUGAAGGGUGAGGGUAUUUUAUGGGUGCUGGUUGGAGUUCUUGAUAAUUUAAUAUUCAGCAUCAAUUCAAGCAAUAGUUGUAUCUUUAUGUAAGUGUAUUGGGUCAAAAAUACCUCCUUACUCAAUGUGACUUGAAAAAAAUUGGUGUGCAAAAUGCGACCUGCUUUUAGCAGUUCAUCUUUCUGGUCACAGAACACAUUUAUUAAUCAUUCAGUACAUUUUUGCUAUUUUGAUAGCUGAGAAAACCUUUGAUGCAUUGUUUGAGUUCGUUGGUUUGGCUUGGGUUUUGGGUCUUUUUAGCUUUUUUUCCUUUGUUUUCUAAGGGAGAAAUGGUAAAAUAUAGGAUUUUCCUUAAUGCAAUGUAUUCUUUGACUUUCUCUAGCCUCCUGUUACUAAGAUGAUUAAUUGCUCUUGCUGGAAGAUAGGACUCUGAAAAGAGUCCUCUUGAUCUGAUAGAGACUAAAUUUAUUGGGGGUGUGGAGAGAAAAAUAUAUUGGUUUUGGCUUUCAACAUAGUUUGUGCAUUUUAGAAAUAAAGUUUGAAGGACCCCCAGCAUUUCUGAGAGAGGCAUGAGAGAAAAAGAAAGGCAGCUCCAUGAAGUAAAUCAUGUCUGAUGUUUAGGAGCUAUUGGACUACUUGGCAAUGGAAAGCAUUAAUUCUAUAUGCAUGCAGGAGACUUAAUUAUGCGUUUAUAGUAGUGCAUUCAUCUGCGAACAAAGCCUCUGGACUGCUUGUGUGACACCUUGUGCAAAGUCAUUCACUGUAGUGUGAGGUCAUGUCUUCAGAAUCAUCAUCUCCAGGGAAAACCCUCUCGGUUUGUCUCACUGGAGAAGGGUACUUGAUGUCACCUUUCUGGGAAGGAGAAUGGAUUGUCAUCCUAUGGACCCAGCUGGCGCCUUGGAGUCCCCUGAGAAUGGAGUCACUCUGUGUGGAUGUUUGCUGCACACCUCAGGAGAGAUGCUGGAUGGUAGCAGAGCCUAAAGGAGGAGCUGGAGAGAGGCUGCUCAGGAUCCAGAGCUCUGGGUGGAUUUUCUCUGGAUGAAAGAACCUGCUGAUUCUGGUGAGAGGUAGAGAUCACCUUGGGAAGGUGACAGCAGAAAACCAUGUUUUCAUGGGCCGUGCUCUCUCCUGAGCUCAGAUGCUACCUUGUAUAACAAGAGCUAUUUGCUGAGAAUGUCCUUUAGUCUGGAGUUGCAUGGAAAACAAAAUAUCUGUCAGAACAUAAUUACUUUUAUGGCACUAGUCAUAUUGCCAUAAAGGAUCUGAAGUGAUUUCUAACCUGCUUUGUGGCCUGGAGACUAGAGUCUCUAUUGUAACCUCUGCUGUGCAAGGAUGGCCUCUGUGGAUCCCCUGCUUUCCCUCUCUGUGGUUCACUCUGUGUGCUCUUCUGCAGGGAAUGUUGAGCAGAUGGGCUGGCCUGGCAUAGGCUGGCUUUCAACAGCUGCUUCUUCUGUGGCACAAAAUGAGGAGAGAUCCAUUUUCUUUAGCAGCUGUGAGAGUGCCACUUUGGUGGUGCUGACAAAAGUUCAUCUGCAGCCCCAUCUAUGUAGGAAGGUUUCCAUUGGUUUCAUACUUCUCCAAAGCCAGACCUACUUUGUUUUUACUGUAAUGUCUAUAUCUCACUGAGGAAAAUUAGUGUCCUAAUGUGCAUCUCUAAGCUGUUGAGACAAUCCAAGCCUCUUGCUUUGCUGCAUGUAGCAGUGUUAGAGCUGAUCUGCACCCAAGUGGCUUGUCUGCCUGUAGUGUUUUUUGAUUGUGAUGGGGCAAAUGAGGGAAAGUUUUGUGAGAAGGGAAAAUCCACUUCCUUUUGUCUCUUUGUCUUUAACAGCUUUAUAAGUUGUAGCUUUCUGAUCUGUGUAUUUUCAAAUAAUAUUGCCUUCUAUGACUGUUUCCUGUAAAUGAAAAAUAAAACCAAGAAUUUCAAGUCCUUCUAGAGUUUGUUUUCUUUUUUGUGGCUGUGUUUGUUUUUUGUUGCAUCUUCAGCACUGGGAAAAGUAUUUGAGUAAUGCUUCACUCUGUCUAGGACUUUUUCCAUUACAAGACUGUCACUUUUGCUGGGUGUUGGGGUGUUUUUUUAGUUUUGUCUAUUUGUUUAGGUUUUUUAGUCCUAAAGUACCUGGAUUUUCUCUUUCCCUCUCAGUGGAUAAUUUUAAUUAUUAAAAAAAUUUAAUAUUUUUAAUCUCAAGCAUCCUCUAGAUAUUGUUUAAGGACUUUUAAGUUGAUUCUGGAAAAAAGUUAUUUCAUGAUGGUGAAGAUACAAGUUUUGGGAUCUUUUGCCUCUUGUCUAGAACUGUUUGUGGAGGAGCACCCUUCUUAUUUGCUGGAUUGGAAGGAUACCGAAUUUGCAGCGUGGCUGCACUUGGAUCCACUGGCACUGUUGUAAAAAUGAGUUAGAUGGGGCCUAGAGUGUAUUUAGGAGUUUAACUGCAUAAUAUUUUAACCUACAGUGAAGGUGGGAAAAUAAGAAAAGUUGGACUAUUAGGUUUAUACUGAGUACAGAACAUGUUAAGUUUUAAUGAGUUAUCUGGAGCAUAAAAGGGAACAAGGACAGAAUCAGAGAAGUAAGAUUUUAUCAUUGUUGCAGAAAAGAAGAACAAUAUUAUGUUAUUUUAUCUUAAAGAAGGAUGGCAGAAUGUUGUUUUAAUAUUAUUGGAAGGUGAAACAAUGGAGUCCAUGUUGGAAAAUGUAGUCAUAUUUGAGUUUUUCUAGCAAAAAUACUUCUCUUUGGAAAGAUGAGAGUGCAUGAGCAAAUGUGAUCAAAGAUCUAUGAUCUUGCAAAAUAAAAUCAUGAUGAAA